AGCCAUGCCGCGUGUGUGAAGAAGGCCUUUUGGUUGUAAAGCACUUUAAGCAGUGAAGAAGACCUAACGGUUAAUACCCGUUAGCGAUGACAUUAGCUGCAGAAUAAGCACCGGCUAACUCUGUGCCAGCAGCCGCGGUAAUACAGAGGGUGCAAGCGUUAAUCGGAAUUACUGGGCGUAAAGCGAGCGUAGGUGGCUUGAUAAGUCAGAUGUGAAAUCCCCGGGCUUAACCUGGGAACUGCAUCUGAUACUGUUGGGCUAGAGUAGGUGAGAGGGAGGUAGAAUUUCAGGUGUAGCGGUGAAAUGCGUAGAGAUCUGAAGGAAUACCGAUGGGCGAAGGCAGCCUCCUGGCAUCAUACUGACACUGAGGUUCGAAAGCGUGGGUAGCAAACAGGAUUAGAUACCCUGGUAGUCCACGCCGUAAACGAUGUCUACUAGUCGUUGGGGAACUUGAUUCCUUAGUGACGCAGCUAACGCAAUAAGUAGACCGCCUGGGGAGUACGGCCGCAAGGUUAAAACUCAAAUGAAUUGACGGGGGCCCGCACAAGCGGUGGAGCAUGUGGUUUAAUUCGAUGCAACGCGAAGAACCUUACCUGGUCUUGACAUAUCUAGAAUCCUGCAGAGAUGCGGGAGUGCCUUCGGGAAUUAGAAUACAGGUGCUGCAUGGCUGUCGUCAGCUCGUGUCGUGAGAUGUUGGGUUAAGUCCCGCAACGAGCGCAACCCUUUUCCUUAGUUACCAGCGGUUUGGCCGGGGACUCUAAGGAUACUGCCAGUGACAAACUGGAGGAAGGCGGGGACGACGUCAAGUCAUCAUGGCCCUUACGACCAGGGCUACACACGUGCUACAAUGGUAGGUACAGAGGGCAGCUACACAGCGAUGUGAUGCGAAUCUCAAAAAGCCUAUCGUAGUCCAGAUUGGAGUCUGCAACUCGACUCCAUGAAGUAGGAAUCGCUAGUAAUCGCGGAUCAGAAUGCCGCGGUGAAUACGUUCCCGGGCCUUGUACACACCGCCCGUCACACCAUGGGAGUUGAUUGCACCAGAAGUGGGUAGCCUAACUUUUAGAGGGCGCUCACCACGGUGUGGUUGAUGACUGGGGUGAAGUCGUAACAAGGUAA
rnacentral:rRNA from 1 species